CCCCUAGAUGUUCUGGGCCGCACGCGCGCUACACUGAACAGUUCAACAAGUCUUAACCUUGGCCGAUAGGUCUGGGUAAUCUUUGAACGCUGUUCGUGAUUGGGAUAGACCUUUGCAAUUAUGGGUCUUCAACGAGGAAUUCCUAGUAAACGCAAGUCAUCAGCUUGCAUUGAUUACGUCCCUGCCCUUUGUACACACCGCCCGUCGCACCUACCGAUUGAAUGGUCCGGUGAAAUCUCGGGACGGCGGCUUGGUCGCUUGCGUCCGACUGCUGAAACUUGAUUAAACCAUAUCAUUUAGAGGAGGGUGAANUCGUANCA
rnacentral:rRNA from 1 species